CUACUGGGGUUUCUAAUCCUGUUCGCUCCCCACGCUUUCGCUCCUCAGCGUCAGUAUCGGCCCAGAGACCCGCCUUCGCCACCGGUGUUCCUCCUGAUAUCUGCGCAUUUCACCGCUACACCAGGAAUUCCAGUCUCCCCUACCGAACUCAAGUCUGCCCGUAUCGACUGCAGGCCCAGAGUUAAGCCCCAGGUUUUCACAGUCGACGCGACAAACCGCCUACGAGCUCUUUACGCCCAAUAAUUCCGGACAACGCUCGCACCCUACGUAUUACCGCGGCGGCUGGCAC
rnacentral:rRNA from 1 species